rnacentral:rRNA from 1 species
GCAGAGCAUCCUACGGGAGGCAGCAGUGGGGAAUAUUGCACAAUGGGCGCAAGCCUGAUGCAGCCAUGCCGCGUGUAUGAAGAAGGCCUUCGGGUUGUAAAGUACUUUCAGCAGUGAGGAAGGUGGAUAUGUUAAUAGCAUAUUCAUUUGACGUUAGCUGCAGAAGAAGCACCGGCUAACUCCGUGCCAGCAGCCGCGGUAAUACGGAGGGUGCGAGCGUUAAUCGGAAUUACUGGGCGUAAAGCGCAUGCAGGUGGUUUGUUAAGUCAGAUGUGAAAGCCCGGGGCUCAACCUCGGAAUUGCAUUUGAAACUGGCAAACUAGAGUACUGUAGAGGGGGUAGAAUUUCAGGUGUAGCGGUGAAAUGCGUAGAGAUCUGAAGGAAUACCGGUGGCGAAGGCGGCCCCCUGGACAGAUACUGACACUCAGAUGCGAAAGCGUGGGGAGCAAACAGGAUUAGAUCCCUGGUAG